rnacentral:rRNA from 1 species
AAAGGGUCAGUAAUGGGAUCGAGCGUACCCAGAGGUGGAGGAUAGCGUUGGGAAACUGACGGUAAUACUCCAUGUCCUCUACGGAGAAAAAGAUUUAUCGCCUUUGGGGCGGCGAUCCUCCUAUCAGGUAGUUGGCGGGGUAAAAGCCCACCAAGCCGAAGACGGGUAGCGGGUGUGAGAGCACGGCCCGCGACAUCGAGACUGAGACACUGCUCGGACUCCUACGGGAGGCUGCAGUAACGAAUAUUCCGCAAUGCGCGAAAGCGUGACGGAGCAAUGCCGCGUGCAGGAUGAAGCGGUUUCGCCGUGUAAACUGCUGUCAGGGGUCAGAAAUACUGAUCUGCCCCCAAAGGAAGGGCCGGCUAACCCUGUGCCAGCAGCCGCGGUAAUAAU